AUUGAACGCUGGCGGCAGGCCUAACACAGGCAAGUCGAGCGAGCGGCGGACGGGUGAGUAAUGUCUGGGAAAAUGCCUGAUGGAGGGGGAUAACUACUGGAAACGGUAGCUAAUACAGCAUACCAUCAGAUGUGCCCAGAUGGGAUUAGCGGGUAGGUGGGGUAACGGCUCACCUAGGCGACGAUCCCUAGCUGGUCUGCGAGGAUGACCAGCCACACUGGAACUGAGACACGGUCCAGACUCCUACGUGAGGCCGCAGUGGGGAAUAUUGCACAAUGGGCGCAAGCCUGAUGCAGCCAUGCCGCGUGUGUGAAGAAGGCCUUCGGGUUGUAAAGCACUUUCAGCUGGGAGGCGUUACCCGCAGAAGAAGCACCGGCUAACUCCGUGCCAGCCGCCGCGGUAAUAC
rnacentral:rRNA from 1 species